rnacentral:misc_RNA from 1 species
UGGUUCUGGCAUCGAUGAAGAGCGCAGCGAAAUGCGAUAAGUAAUGUGAAUUGCAGAAUUCAGUGAAUCAUCGAAUCUUUGAACGCACAUUGCGCCCUCUGGUAUUCCGGGGGGCAUGCCUGUUCGAGCGUCAUUACAACCCUCAAGCUCUGCUUGGUAUUAGACUUCACCUGCUACAGGUGGGUCUUAAAAUCAGUGGCGGUGCCAUCUGGCUUCAAGCGUAGUAAUUUUUCUCACUUAGGAGUACCAGUUGUGUGCCUGCUAUAAAACCCCAAUUUUUAAAGGUUGACCUCGGAUCAGGUAGGGAUACCCGCUGA